rnacentral:misc_RNA from 1 species
UUUCGCUCGCUCUUGCGGUGUGUGGGAACAUGUUGUUCUUUCUCUCUGUGCGUCUCUGAGAGAGAAUAUGUUUUGUAAGCCGCCAUUCAGCUAGGCCGUUCUUCUUUUCGAGAAACGUCUUGUGUGUUUGUGAAUUGCCAGUAGUGUUCCCAUUUUUUUUCUGUAUGGAAUUGUAAGAAUUGUGAAAAGAAAGAUUAACCACCCGUUGCCUUUGCCAAAAAGGGUUGGCCAGCACCCACAGGUUCACCGGUCGGCCAUGACAGUCGACGCCGGACGCCGACUCUUAUUGCUCAGCGUCUUCCUGUGGCUGGGUCAUCGAGACUGUCGAGCUCUUGUGCCCAGCAGCCCAACAACAGAUCAACAUGUUCAAAUUGUGCUGUUACAUCGGAGAGGGUUGGAUUGCGAUGCCGACAGCAAUAAAAUUGGCAACAGCGUGAGCAUGUCAGCAAGUCAACGAGAAACGGCCGCGCGAUGGGCAUCCGAAAUCCUCAACAACCAAACGAAACCUCAUCUCUUCUCCAUAGAUGUGGAAGUGAUGGACACGUGCGGCAGCGUCCAAGCGACGGCCAAACGGUCGCUACAAGUCGUCAGGCAAAUUAAAAGCAGCGGAACGGCCGUGCUGGGCGUCAUCGCCUUGGAGGAGGCGGACGUCCUUGCCGAAGCGGCUCGUGUCCUUCGACGUCACAACAUUCCAUUGGUGGUAGCCACACCUAGAGCCGCUGAAAGUGAAGCUGCUUCUCUACUCCUCUACGCUCCAGACGAUCCGGCCGUUUUUACCCAACCGGACAACGUCUUUUCAGCCGUACCCAAUACCGCCGCUGUCGCCAGGGCGACGAUGGCAGUGGCCAAGGGAAUACAGAGCCAAUCCAUCCGCAUUUUGGGGACGUGUUGGCGGACGAUCCGGAUGGCGGAACGAGCCGCUCGCCAUUUGAAUAUCAGAGUGAUAUCCGCUGAGCAUUUGGUCGGCGACUAUUCCGGUAGUCCGACAGCCUACAUCGCCAAUCUGACGACGCAUCAACACGUGCUGGAACAACAAGAAGGUGUCAGGGUGGCUUUGCUGAUGGAACCCGAUGAACUGGCCGACUUUAUGAACCAGGCCGUCAGAAUAUCUAGCGGGAGGAAAAUCACUUGGCUUCUUGGAUGUGUGGCGGGUGUUGUCAGUCCGCAAAUCGCAGCUCAAUGGGCGCUCGAUCUGUCCAGCAGCGCAUUUCUUGUCGAACCCCAUUUACUGGAACUGGCCGGAUUAGCCGAUUAUAUGCGACUUCAUGGUGUUAUUCACCAUCCGCUCGAUAACGAGAUUCCGCAUAUCGUUCAAGCCGUUUCGGCUCUCGGCGCUGCGUUCCACUUGCAGGAAUUGUCCAGUUGUGUUCAACAGCAGUCGGCUAACGGCACUAACGAUGAGAACAACAGCACCAGUGAGUUCGACUGCAGUCCGGCGUUUGCUGCGGAUCCUUCGCGAGUUCCCAGUCAAAUGUUGACGGCCCUACGCCAAUUGAGUAUGCCCGCCACAUCAAAUGCAAGAGGUCCAGCUGAACUGGAAGGCACGUCCAACCAUUUUACGCCGUCCGGCCGACUUGUAGCCAACCGUUACCUCAUCCAGAAAUUGAUGGCCGGCUCUGGUGAAAGUUCACCGGUCGCCUGGUACUCUGACGACGACGGUCUCGUCUUAGCCGCCAUCAUGACGUCACAAUCCCGUUUCGACUUUUUUGGCCACGUCUCUUCCGUCCCUCUUUUAACGUCCGUCCCUCCUUUUGUCAUCGACGAACGGACGAUUGAUUACAACAACAACAACAUUAAAGUCGAAGGCACGGAAGAUCCCGAACAAGAAGCGACUGGACUUUUCCUCGAUGACGUUAAUAAUCUCAUCACAGCCAGUCCGUCAUCUCGUCCGCUUUUCCUUUUCGUUCAAGGACGGACUUGGGCGGCUUCCAUAUUGGCCGUCUCUGCCACUGAAUUGCUGGCCGCUUUCUACAUCCUCGUUGUUCUUAUUUCACGCAUGUGCGGAACCGAUCGCACCACCAGCGUCCGGCUGUCGAGCACUCAGACCAUGUCGCUUCUUCUUUUGUUGGCCGUCAUGGCUCAGUUGACGAGCGUGGCCCUCUUUGUUCUACCCGGACUGGCUACUCAUUUGAAAUUCUUUCUUCCCCCGUUAUUCCUCGUUGCCGGUUACGCUCUUCUUCUGGCCAAGCUCUUCCAGUUCCGACAUUUGGCCUCUGCCGGAUUAGGCGGAUCUGUCCCUCAAUGUCCCCUCUACGUGGCCGUUUUGCUGGCCCUAGCCGUUCAAGCGGCUGUCAGUGCUCAUUUCUAUACUCAACAGGAACAGCAGCGCCAAAUGUUGACAACGAUCAACGACAACAACGAUUUACCUUUGCUCUACCUUUUCCUGAUGGUGCUGGUGACCAUCACGGCCCUGUACGCGUCCAGCUUGAAACACAUCCGCCAACAGCAUCGAGAAGCUCAACUGAUUCUCAUCGCCACGUUGACGUCAGCCGCUUUGAUGAUGGGCUGGACGCUGGUCGUCACGAUGGCCGAUGAAGAAUAUCGCGAUGCUGCAACAGCUGGAUUGAUGGUCCUCUUGGCCGCCUCCGUCCUCGGUUCCAUCUUUAUCCCGCGAGUGGUGCAGUUGAGUCGGCAAAGGAGACAACUGUCUAUCAAGUCGACUUACGCUUGCAAUAUUUCAAUGGCUUCCGGAAUACCCACCAGUCCGUGGCUGGAUUACAAUUUCACCAGUGCAAAGGACAAGCAAAUGUUACAGCAAAAUUACAGCUCGAACAACUGCAGCAGCAGUAAUUGUACUAAUAGUUAUAGUAGUUAUAAGAAUCAGAGUAGCGAUAAUAACAAAAACUUAAUGAAUGAUGUAAAACUAUCUGGCAGUGGACUUAUGAGGCAUCCACAGUACUCUGGACGCCAUUAAAAUGAAAAAUAAAAAACGCCAGACAAGCCCCCCCAACCCAAAAAAUCAACCAUGCAUUAAAUAUCGAUCGUUUUUUUUUUUCACGUUUUUUUUUUAAAUUAAAAUUAUAAUUUUUUUUUGUUUCUCGUCCACCAGCAAAACAAAUCUAUUCUUGUCAUUUAAUUAAAACCCCACUUAUUUUUUUUCCUCGCCUCGGUUAUUUACAAAUGUAUUUUUCGUGUUUGUGUUUACUCAAGGUCUCUUUUUUUAACGACGACAAUUCAAUAAUAAAUGGUAGGACGUUUCAAAUAUCGUUCUACGCUUUCACUAAUGAUGAAAGUCUUAUUGGACAUGUUUUAAGGCAUUUUCGUGCGUUUUAUUCGGGAGGAAAUGCAAAACUUGCAAUUCUUAAAUUUAAAAUGUGUUGCUUGUUUUUACCGCUAGAUGGCUGUUUUGUUGUUUGCUUAACUGGAUUGGGCCGAAGCACCACGUUUUGAAAGCAAAGUUUUAUAUUUAUUCUAGAGAAAAUCUCCGGAUACGAAUGUUGUGCUGCACAGUUUUAUUAUUUUUUCCAUUGAUUUACUGCAAAUUUUUUACUAAAUUGAAGGUUAGAAAAUAUUUGCCAGUUUAAUUAAAUCCGACAAAUUUGCAUUUGAGCUACAAAUGCCAUCGGCUGUACACCGUGACUUGCCAUCAGAUUUCUCAGCCAAUUCAUUUUAAGGCGACAGUCAUUGUUAGUGAAAAUGUUGGUGAUUAAGUUAACAGGUGUCACUUGGUGCCUGAUGGCUAAACAAUGAAGAAUUGAGAGAAAAAUGAGUGUUUUAAAACACAGUAUGAGGCUGG